CGCUGAAAGUCGGCAACCUUUCUUAUCGAUCGACAACAAGCGACGUGAGGCGUGUAUUCUGUCGUUACGGUAAGCUGGGCGACGUCUACAUCCCAAAGGACAAGAAUUCACGUCUCAGCAGAGGAUUUGCAUUUGUCAGGCUCGCUUGGGAUACCCCCACCCUGAUGAACAUUUGACUGGUGUAGUGGCGCAGUCACAGGUUCCUGUGCGUCAUCUCCGGUCGUGCUCUGCGCGUUCCUCAGCUCUUCCGCUAUUCGCCAUCUUGUUCUCGUCGUGUGUGGACGGUUACGCUUUGUGGUCUUAUCUUCCUGGACGAUUCCUCGAGUGCGAGCAAAGGUACCAGCAGUUUUCUAAGAAGCCUGUCGAGAAGCUCGCUGUUAUAAUGAGCUACGGCCGGCCGCCGCCCCGUAUUGACGGGAUGGUGUCCCUCAAGGUGGACAAUCUCACCUACAGGACGACGCCGGAGGAUCUUCGGCGCGUGUUCGAGCGAUGCGGCGAGGUUGGCGAUAUUUACAUACCGCGCGACCGAUUCACUCGCGAGAGCCGCGGUUUCGCUUUUGUCAGGUUUUAUGACAAACGUGAUGCAGAGGAUGCAUUAGAUGCUAUGGAUGGACGGUUGUUAGAUGGUAGGGAACUUAGGGUUCAAAUGGCUCGUUAUGGUCGACCAACAUCACCACACCGAAGCCGUGGAAGUCGUCGACGUGGAAGGUCACGAAGUCGCAGUCGGGAUCGCAGACGAUCUCGUUCAAGAUCACGCUCUAGGUCACGUAGUCGCGACAGGGACCGAAGACGCUCCUACAGUCGUAGUCGCAGCCGCUCUCGUUCUGACAGUAAGAGCUCACGUGGAAAAUCGCGUUCACGCAGCAAGUCUCAGGAAAGACAGAAGGAUAGUCGCUCCAAGUCAAGAGACUGAAGUAAUUAUAAGGUUAUGAGAGUACAAGCGUGAACAGAUGGGCGUGCCCCAAGUUGCAAAUGCAGAAUAUCGUUCUCACGUGAAAAAGAAAAGGCGGUGGAAAGGAGUGGCGUGGCGAGUGUAGCCGAUGAUGGGGUAGCUGAGAGUAAGCAGUAAGCCGAGUAGCAGGGCUGUAUGCAGUUUGCAGUAGCGAGCGGUUGGUGGUCUGGUGAAAGCAGGUUCGCGGCGGGCGGUUCGGGCGAGAAAGUUUGGUCGAAAACGGAAAAGCCGGUCUCUAUUACUUUCCUCUAUUUUUAAUCCUCUUUUCUAUCUAUGUCUGUCUCUAUAGUUUUUUUUCUUACUUUUUCUCUGUUUCAUUCUUUAACGCUCUAUACUUUUCUAAUUUGUUUCUACUAUCUGUUGUCCUCUUUCUCUCCUUUUUCUCUGUCUUUCAUACACACACGCACACUCUCACUCUAUGGGGGAUCAGAGUGCACGAGUUGCAGAGUACACGCGAUGACGAUUGCCGCCCAGAGACCCGCCAGAAUUUCCCAGCCACAGCUUCGCCGAGUCUUGCCGAGAGGGUGAUGAUUUGGUCGUUUGGCAGUCGGUGUUGGCAUGGUGGGCUGGAUAGCAGCCGAUCUCUUCCACUGUCGGAUAAGCACGGGGGCGCAUAAAAUGACGAUAUAGGACUUCUGACGAAUCACCAGACCUCGCGCGUGAACGCACCCCCACUGCCACCCACGCACGUACCAGCUAGUCCGAUUGGCCCUCAGUUUCGUCGUCCUCGUCGCGGCUCACGCCGAGAUGCAUUAUGCUUCCUGGGAGUUGAUGCGAAUCUCUGCGAACAGCCAUUUUGUCAACUCGCGCUUGGUAGGGCUUAUACUUUUGGGGUUUUGUUCUUAGCUUUCAUUUUUUUUUUAUUCUACGUGGGAUGCAUACUCCGUAUUCGGACAGGUCGUCUACCUGAUGGAGUCGGGUUACUCUCGAGGAUUUAGCUAUGGGAUGUUGUGUAGUUUGUUCAUUCUCGUGAAUUCGUGUUUUGAUCAAGUGUUUCUUGAGAUCUCUGCCUGACGUGGAUUCGACGCAUAAUUUGUUUAUUCAGCCUGUAUUAUUUAUGCCGGUUAUUUUUUUAAUCGAUACUUUGUCGUGACGCGUAAACGUUGUCUCGCGAUCUUGUUAUUGUUUUGUACAAUGGGAUUGCUACUUCAAUUGUGUCGCUCAAACGAAUUUCAUUUUCCGCCGAUAUGUCAAUGGGGAAUUUGGUUUACGGGUGGGAUAAAAACGGGCUCUUCUUUUUUCCUGUGUUUCUAUUUCAGGUGCUUUUUUAUAAGCAAUGCUCUAACGUAAGUAUCAUACACGAGGUAAGAAUUGAAAAAAAAUCUGAAUUAUUACAAUAGAGACGACUGAUAAUCACAAUGAAAAGAUUAUCCAAGGAUCCUGGGGACAAUAAUUAUGAGUUUUAUGGAUAUUGUAGAGAUGUCGAUGAUAUAUGGUAACGAUUUAUUCAAUAAAACCAUAAAAACUAAAA